CACCACAUCUGUAGAAGUACACUGUGUUGUCUUGCAAUGGUCCAAUCACAGUAUGGUGUAUCAUUCCAGAACUAUAUAACAGGUAACUGUACUUGGUACUUUCUCCUUGAGCUUUAAAACUGUAUUUUCCAGUAGAUGUUCCAUAUUCAAUAAUUGAAGGAGAAGAUUUAUCAGUUGUGACCCAUGACACCCUUAUGUGUUUGUCCCCAGCUAAUGAGAUGUGAACCUGCCAAGAGAAUAUCAAUUCACAUGAUUAAAUAUACAGGCUCCAUUUAUUCACCAAAACAGCAUACAUGUAACUUAAGGAGGAGAUAACAGGCUCCAUUCCUCAUGCUUCUCAAAAGUAUUUCCAUCAAAAUAUGAGUAAGUCUUCCGUACCAUCUUCCUCCCAUUUCCUUUCCUUUGAAUUUUGUUCCUCUUCCAGAUAUGAAAAAUGCAGCUUUAACAGAUGUGUUUCUUUUUCUUAUCUAAAAUCCAAGUUCCAAACUGUGACCUUAGGAGUUAGGACAAUGUAACCACCUUUACCCCCCCCCCCCCCCACAACAAACCAAGAAGCACCCUUUCGCCAUUAUUACACUCCACUAACUAAUGUCCAUGGAAAGAUUUUAGGUCCUCCUAAACAGGACAUAAAACCAACUUGAACAAACAAAAAGAAAAUGAAAGACCGGAUAAUGAAAAGAACCUUGGCGUCUACGAGCUUUAUUAAUGCUAACUUAGUUACAUUGCAUUUGGAACUGUGGAGGUCAUAGAAAGCAACACCUAGAAAAUCAUAACUUCUUUUUUAUUAAGUAUGAAAUACAGACACCAAUUAAAAUUGGUAACUCCAACAGCUCAAAGAUCAGUGAGGAAUAACAAAGUUUUAGCAAAACAUUCACACCCGCCAGAAACCGUUAACAGACAAAAAAAAUACUAAUAAUUAAGCUCCCCUGAUUUCAUAGCAAUUAUAACAAAGACUAAGUUGUACUCCUAGACUAUGCUAAGCUACAGUAUCCAGCUGUAAUCCGGAUUCAAAUCAAAAAAACUUGAGUAAAAUCAGUUGAAAUUGACACCAAAUGACAUAAACGAGAAAGGCAUGGGCGGAUCUACAUGUUGCAGCUGAAAUUUUUGCUUAAAAUAUAAAUAUAUAUAUGAUUAGUAAGUCCGCACUGUCAUAAAAAGAAAUACACUCCCCAUCCCAUUUUAUGUGAUGUUGUUUGGCUAUAACACAGUUUAAAAAAGAAAUAUUUUUAAAACUUGUGAUCUAAAUCAAGUGAUAGAUAUUUACUCCAUAAAUUAUCUCCUUAAGGUAAAAUAGAAAGUUUAGAACUAAACUACUUCUAAAUAGAGAAAACUUUUUUUUCUAGAGACACGGAAAGUGCAUCUCAGAAAUUGAAGGGGAGAGAGUAAUGAUUAUACUGACUUAAAAUUGUGAAUCCACAUCAAAGCA
rnacentral:lncRNA from 1 species